rnacentral:rRNA from 1 species
UCCGGAGGGGGCUAGCGUUAUUCGGAAUUACUGGGCGUAAAGCGCACGUAGGCGGCUUUGUAAGUAAGAGGUGAAAGCCCGGAGCUCAACUCCGGAACUGCCUUUUAGACUGCAUCGCUUGAAUCCAGGAGAGGUGAGUGGAAUUCCGAGUGUAGAGGUGAAAUUCGUAGAUAUUCGGAAGAACACCAGUGGCGAAGGCGGCUCACUGGACUGGUAUUGACGCUGAGGCGCGAAAGCCAGGGGAGCAAACGGG